rnacentral:SRP_RNA from 1 species
GGCCGGGUCCUGUGCGACCGGGACCCGUGAACCGAGUCAGGGCCGGGAGGCAGCAGCUCUCAGCGGGCCCUCCGGAGCGCCGCAGAUCACCUGGCCGCC